rnacentral:rRNA from 1 species
CGUGUAGGCGGUAGGCCAAGUCGAGUGUGAAAGCCCUAAGCUUAACUUAGGAAGUGCGCUCGAAACUGGUCAACUAGAGUACGGGAGAGGGUAGCGGAAUUCCCGGUGUAGAGGUGAAAUUCGUAGAUAUCGGGAGGAACACCAGUGGCGAAGGCGGUUAUCUGGACCGAUACUGACGCUGAGACGCGAAAGCGUGGGGAGCAAACAGGAUUAGAUACCCUGGUAGUCC